ACGGGUGAGUAACACGUAUCCAACCUGCCGUCUACUCUUGGACAGCCUUCUGAAAGGAAGAUUAAUACAAGAUGGCAUCAUGAGUCCACAUGUUCACAUGAUUAAAGGUAUUCCGGUAGACGAUGGGGAUGCGUUCCAUUAGAUAGUAGGCGGGGUAACGGCCCACCUAGUCUUCGAUGGAUAGGGGUUCUGAGAGGAAGGUCCCCCACAUUGGAACUGAGACGCGGUCCAA
rnacentral:rRNA from 1 species